GGGACUGGGGUGCUGGUUCUGUUCGUCUCCUACACUGUAGAAUAGGCUUGUGUUGUCGACGACUCGGAUGUUUCACAAGUCUAUUUCUACGGAGUUCGUGACGUCAGAUGGGUCGACCCUUCCUCCAC
rnacentral:precursor_RNA from 10 species